rnacentral:rRNA from 1 species
UACGGGGGGAGCAAGCGUUGUUCGGAUUUACUGGGCGUAAAGGGCGCGUAGGCGGCCACCGCAAGUCAAUUGUGAAAUCUCCGGGCUUAACUCGGAAAGGUCAACUGAUACUGCGGGGCUAGAGUGCGGAAGGGGCAACUGGAAUUCUCGGUGCAGCGGUGAAAUGCGUAGAUAUCGAGAGGAACACCUGCGGCGAAGGCGGGUUGCUGGGCCGACACUGACGCUGCUGCGCGAAAGCCAGGGGAGCGAACAGG